AUCCAAGUCCAGCUAGAUUUUGAUUCAUAACAAGGAAUUUGUUCAUUGGGGUUUUAUGCUUAGGCAUUUGAUCAACACUGAAGACACAAUAUGAUCCUCAUUUUGGAUGA